rnacentral:rRNA from 1 species
GAUGAACGCUGGCGGCGUGCCUAAUACAUGCAAGUCGAGCGAACAGACGAGGAGCUUGCUCCUCUGACGUUAGCGGCGGACGGGUGAGUAACACGUGGAUAACCUACCUAUAAGACUGGGAUAACUUCGGGAAACCGGAGCUAAUACCGGAUAAUAUAUUGAACCGCAUGGUUCGAUAGUGAAAGACGGUUUUGCUGUCACUUAUAGAUGGAUCCGCGCCGCAUUAGCUAGUUGGUAAGGUAACGGCUUACCAAGGCGACGAUGCGUAGCCGACCUGAGAGGGUGAUCGGCCACCCUGGAACUGAGACACGGUCCAGACUCCUACGGGAGGCAGCAGUCGGGAAUCUUCCGCAAUGGGCGAAAGCCUGACGGAGCAACGCCGCGUGAGUGAUGAAGGUCUUCGGAUCGUAAUACUCUGUUAUUAGUGAAGAACAAAUGUGUAAGUAACUAUGCACGUCUUGACGGUAACUAAUCAGAAAGCCACGGCUAACUACGUG